rnacentral:rRNA from 1 species
UACAGAGGUCUCAACCGUUGUUCGGAUUCAUUGGGCGUAAAGGGUGCGUAGGCGGUCGCGUAAGUCAGGUGUGAAAUCUCAGGGCUCAACCCUGAAACUGCACUUGAUACUGCGUGGCUCGGGUACUGGAGAGGAGACUGGAAUUUACGGUGUAGCAGUGAAAUGCGUAGAUAUCGUAAGGAAGACCAGUGGCGAAGGCGGCUCUCUGGGACGGUACUGACGCUGAGACGCGAAAGCGUGGGGAGCGAACAGG